GAUGAAGAACGUAGCGAAAUGCGAUACGUAAUGUGAAUUGCAGAAUUCAGUGAAUCAUCGAGUCUUUGAACGCACAUUGCGCCCCCUGGUAUUCCGGGGGGCAUGCCUGUCCGAGCGUCAUUGCUGCCCUCAAGCACGGCUUGUGUGUUGGGCCUCCGUCCUCCUCCCGGGGGACGGGCCCGAAAGGCAGCGGCGGCACCGCGUCCGGUCCUCGAGCGUAUGGGGCUUCGUCACCCGCUCUUGUAGGCCCGGCCGGCGCUUGCCGACCCUUUAUUCUUCUAAGGUUGACCUCGGAUCAGGUAGGGAUACCCGCUGAACUUAAGCAUAUCAAUAAGCGGAGGA
rnacentral:misc_RNA from 1 species